UACGUAGGGGGCAAGCGUUGUCCGGAUUUAUUGGGCGUAAAGAGCGUGUAGGCGGCCAUGCAGGUCCGCUGUGAAAACUCGAGGCUCAACCUCGAGAGGUCGGUGGAAACCGUAUGGCUAGAGUCCGGAAGAGGAGAGUGGAAUUCCCGGUGUAGCGGUGAAAUGCGCAGAUAUCGGGAGGAACACCGGUGGCGAAGGCGGUUCUCUGGGCCUUACCUGACACUGAGGAGCGAAAGCGUGGGGAGCGAACAGG
rnacentral:rRNA from 1 species